rnacentral:rRNA from 1 species
GAUGAACGCUGACAGAAUGCUUAACACAUGCAAGUCAACUUGAACUUCGGUUUGGGUGGCGGACGGGUGAGUAACGCGUAAAGAACUUGCCUCACAGAUAGGGACAACAUUUGGAAACGAAUGCUAAUACCUGAUAUUAUGAUUUUAGGGCAUCCUAGGAUUAUGAAAGCUAUAUGCGCUGUGAGAGAGCUUUGCGUCCCAUUAGCUAGUUGGAGAGGUAACGGCUCACCAAGGCGAUGAUGGGUAGCCGGCCUGAGAGGGUGAUCGGCCACAAGGGGACGGAGACAGGCCCCUACCUCCGGCGGGGGCAAGGGGGGGGAAAUUUGGGAAAAUGACCAAAGAGUUUGAUCGAAAAUUUCGGUGUGCAAAAAAAUGUUUUGGGAAAUAAAAAGUGUUUUCGGUUGAAAAAAAAAAAAGGCCGGUACAAAAAAAAGAAGGGACGGCUAAAUACGGG